rnacentral:rRNA from 1 species
GAGAAGCUUGCUUCUCUGAUGUUAGCGGCGGACGGGUGAGUAACACGUGGAUAACCUACCUAUAAGACUGGGAUAACUUCGGGAAACCGGAGCUAAUACCGGAUAAUAUUUUGAACCGCAUGGUUCAAAAGUGAAAGACGGUCUUGCUGUCACUUAUAGAUGGAUCCGCGCUGCAUUAGCUAGUUGGUAAGGUAACGGCUUACCAAGGCAACGAUGCAUAGCCGACCUGAGAGGGUGAUCGGCCACACUGGAACUGAGACACGGUCCAGACUCCUACGGGAGGCAGCAGUAGGGAAUCUUCCGCAAUGGGCGAAAGCCUGACGGAGCAACGCCGCGUGAGUGAUGAAGGUCUUCGGAUCGUAAAACUCUGUUAUUAGGGAAGAACAUAUGUGUAAGUAACUGUGCACAUCUUGACGGUACCUAAUCAGAAAGCCACGGCUAACUACGUGCCAGCAGCCGCGGUAAUACGUAGGUGGCAAGCGUUAUCCGGAAUUAUUGGGCGUAAAGCGCGCGUAGGCGGUUUUUUAAGUCUGAUGUGAAAGCCCACGGCUCAAC